rnacentral:rRNA from 1 species
AUACAGAGGGUGCGAGCGUUAAUCGGAAUUACUGGGCGUAAAGCGCGCGUAGGCGGCUUGGUCAGUCGGAUGUGAAAGCCCCGGGCUCAACCUGGGAAUGGCAUUCGAUACUGCCAGGCUAGAGUGUGGGAGAGGGAAGUGGAAUUUCCGGUGUAGCGGUGAAAUGCGUAGAUAUCGGAAGGAACACCAGUGGCGAAGGCGACUUCCUGGCCCAAUACUGACGCUGAGGUGCGAAAGCGUGGGGAGCGAACAGGAUUAGAAACCCUAGUAGUCC